UGGAACAGGACGCCACUUUCGCCAAAGAUAAUCUAAGCCUGAGACACUGUUUUCUACGUUGAUUGGGAAUAAAAAUAUGUUAUUUUAUUUUUCAGCCUGUGUCUAAAGCGAAAUCGGCGACUGCAUGGUCAUGUUACUAACAUUUACUGCGAUAUUUGUUUCCUUUAGCGCCAACGUUUAGACGGCUGUGAAACUACACGCUGCAUUUUGUGACGUGCCACAUGUCUGUACAUGCCCACAAGCUACACAAAGAAACCGCAAUCACAUCUUUUCAACUUCAUCAGCUUUCCCAUUGAUAAUUUUAAGCGUUUGCUGAAGCUGUCUGCAGCAUAGCUCUUGUUCUUGGUGUAUGAAAGAGCGAAUGUGUUCAAGGAGAUGGGUCAUUUGAGAAAUCGAGUGGCGAAAGAAGUGUAAUAGAUAGGUUCAUCAGGCAUUUCUAGUCGACAACGUGCUAGUAUGGCUUUCUUCGAGAGCUAUCGCUGUGGAAAAAAAAAAAAAAAAAACAUGGGAACAGGUUGCAAUUUGAACGCGGUUCUGUAUGACUCCGCCUGAAAGUAACUUUUAUAAAACCAAAGUUGUACAGCCUACGCACAAAAGUGAUAUAAUGUGUGACUCAUUCGUCACCGCAGUAAUCGUGCAUCGUGCUUUUUUUCGCUUGCCAACCAGUUUCUUAAGAGCCUUUGUGACGAGAGCCAAGCUUGUGCAAAAGAACUAAAAACUUUGGAGCUUCAGGCAAUCGUACCGUGCUCGCGGAAGAAAAUUUGGGCCAUCUGGCAAGACACCCUAUCUUAUGACAUGAAGACACAGAAGAUUGUAGAGAAGUUUGUGGACUGCGGUAUUUCCAUCAUUCCCAACGCUAAGGUAGCAUGGCAUCUCAUAAAAGUGGGAUUGCGUGUGGCAGGUUAGAUGUCAGACCGCCCCGAGAAACGUAAAGGUGACGCAACAAUAAUUUGGAGCAUCUUAUGUCAGCCAGACUUCCACAGAUAAUGUUUCAGGUGCCUUGUGGUUAAAUGGAAAGGUGUAUAGCAUACAUCGAAAACUCGUGUUCCUUCUGUUUAUUUUUUUUUUUUUGGUGCAUUAAAAUGACUAUGCAGAAAAUCAUG